rnacentral:rRNA from 1 species
CCUACGGGUGGCUGCAGUGGGGAAUAUUGCACAAUGGGCGCAAGCCUGAUGCAGCCAUGCCGCGUGUGUGAAGAAGGCCUUCGGGUUGUAAAGCACUUUCAGCGGGGAGGACGGCGGUGAGGUUAAUAACCUCAUCGAUUGACGUUACCCGCAGAAGAAGCACCGGCUAACUCCGUGCCAGCAGCCGCGGUAAUACGUAGGGUGCAAGCGUUAAUCGGAAUUACUGGGCGUAAAGCGCACGCAGGCGGUCUGUCAAGUCGGAUGUGAAAUCCCCGGGCUCAACCUGGGAACUGCAUUCGAAACUGGCAGGCUAGAGUCUUGUAGAGGGGGGUAGAAUUCCAGGUGUAGCGGUGAAAUGCGUAGAGAUCUGGAGGAAUACCGGUGGCGAAGGCGGCCCCCUGGACAAAGACUGACGCUCAGGUGCGAAAGCGUGGGGAGCAAACAGGAUUAGAUACCCGAGUAGUC